AGGUUUUCUAAGAUGCCUGCUGGGAACCUAGUGGUGUCUCUCUUUUGCCUUCUCACCUUGUUUUCAACCUGCUCCAUCCAGAACAGCCCCGGAGGAGGAAAGAGGUUCCUUCCUUAUCCAGGAUUCCGACUGUGUACCUCUUGUGGCGGUGUCCAGAAAGGGAAUUGCCAUGGGCCAGACCUCUGUUGUGUAAAGGGGGCCUGCUUUGGUGGGGCUGAAGUGAAGUUGUCCUGUGUGAAGGAGAAGUCUUUUCCUCUGGGUUGCACAGCCGGUUGGAAGCGCUGCGAAGCGGGCGGACGAUGCGUUCGCCCCGGCCUUUGCUGCACUGAUGAGGGCUGCCUCAUGAAUCCUUCCUGCCCACAAUGAAAAAGAUGACCGACGGUGGAUGUAAGCCAAACCUAUAACCCAUGAAAUGAAAUAACGGAAUAACAUGGAAAUGCUCCGUGCAAAACCAGUUCUAAAUUAAAAAUAAAUAAAUAAAUCCUGCAUUGUGCAA